rnacentral:tRNA from 1 species
AGAAAAUAGGAUGAACCAAUGCACGGCUUCUAACCGUACAAAGAGGGGUUUAAUUCCCUUCAUUUUCUC